GGUUGACCUCGAAUCAGGUAGGACUACCCGCUGAACUUAAGCAUAUCAAUAAGC
rnacentral:rRNA from 1 species